UAAGGAAUAUUGCUCAAUGGGAGAAAUCCUGAAGCAGCAACGCCGCGUGGAGGAUGAAGGGUCUAUGACUUGUAAACUCCUGUAAAGAAGGAAAAAAUUCCCAUUAGAUGGGAGAUGAUGGUACUUCUGGAGUAAGCCCCGGCUAACUACGUGCCAGCAGCCGCGGUAAUACGUAGGGGGCAAGCGUUGUCCGGAUUUACUGGGUGUAAAGGGUGCUCAGGCGGAUUUGUAAGUCGGUGGUGAAAUCUUACAGCUUAACGGUGAAACGGCCUUAGAUACUGCAAGCCUAGAGUAUGGAAGAGAGUGAUGGAAUAUCUGGUGUAGCAGUGAAAUGCGUAGAUAUCAGAUAGAACACCAAUGGCGAAAGCAGUCACUUGGUCCAUUACUGACCCUAAAGCACGAAAGCGUGGGUAGCAAACA
rnacentral:rRNA from 1 species